AUGGCCGUCGCGGGCAGAGGCAUCGCCGGCGUUGCACCCUUUGUCGUCCUCUCGUGCUGCCUGGUGGCUGCGCUUGCAGCGGCCGGCGGCGGUACUCCGCGGUACAACGCCAUCUUCAACCUGGGCGACUCGACGUCGGACACCGGCAACAUCUGCCCCCGGGGCCGGCACGAGCCGGCCGGCGUGCUGGGCAUCUUCGCCCGCAUCCCCUACGGCAUCACCUACUUCGGCAAGCCCAGCUGCCGCUGCUGCGACGGCCGCCUCAACGUCGACUUCCUCGCGCAAGCGUUAGGGCUGCCGCUCCUCCCGCCGUCCAAGGCGCGCGGCGAGGACUUCCGGCGGGGCGCCAACAUGGCCAUGAUCGGCGGCACCGCGCGCGACUACAGCGGCAGCAGCAUGUUCACCGGCUACGGCGUGCACCUCGACGGCUCCAUGGACAGCCAGAUGGAGGCCCUCCGCCGGCUGCUGCCUUCCAUCUGCGGGACACGGCAGAGUUGCAAGGAGUAUUUGGCCAAGUCCCUGUUUGUGUUUCAGUUGGGGGAGAACGACUACAACAUCCAGCUGGUGAAUGGGUCCACGGUGCACGAGGCAAGAAAGAGCAUACCCAGCAUAGUCAACACCAUCACAUCCGGCGUAGAGAAAUUAAUCGCUCUCGGCGCGGUUGACAUCGUGGUGUCAAACGUUGCUCCCAUGGGGUGCUACCCGCUAUACCUAAACUUCUUUGAGAGCUCCGACAAGGAUGACUACAACGAGUACGGGUGCCUGAGAAACCACAACGCCUUGUUUGAUAGGCACAACUCUUUCCUCAAGAACGGGCUCAAAAAGCUUCAAAAGAAGCAUCAACACACAAGGAUCAUGCAUGCUGACCUCGCGAGCCACGUCUACCAAAUGGUGCAGGAUCCCAAAAGGUUUGGCUUUGGUAUUGAGACCAUACUUAUGGGAUGUUGUGGAAAGGCCAAUGCGCCAAACGGAUUUGAUCUGCUUGCAAUGUGCGGGAUGGAUGGCUCGAGCAUCUGCCGUGACCCGGGCAGCCACCUAACCUGGGACGGUAUGCACCUUAGCGACGCUGCCAACAAACUGAUCACCGAGGGCUGGCUAAGUGGCAUGUACUGCAACCCAUCGAUUCUGCAGUGA
rnacentral:rRNA from 1 species